rnacentral:rRNA from 1 species
GUGGGGAAUAUUGGACAAUGGGGGGAACCCUAAUCCAGCCAUGCCGCGUGUGUGAAGAAGGCCUUUUGGUUGUAAAGCACUUUAAGCGAGGAGGAGGCUACCGAGAUUAAUACUCUUGGAUAGUGGACGUUACUCGCAGAAUAAGCACCGGCUAACUCUGUGCCAGCAGCCGCGGUAAUACAGAGGGUGCAAGCGUUAAUCGGAUUUACUGGGCGUAAAGCGCGCGUAGGUGGCCAAUUAAGUCAAAUGUGAAAUCCCCGAGCUUAACUUGGGAAUUGCAUUCGAUACUGGUUGGCUAGAGUAUGGGAGAGGAUGGUAGAAUUCCAGGUGUAGCGGUGAAAUGCGUAGAGAUCUGGAGGAAUACCGAUGGCGAAGGCAGCCAUCUGGCCUAAUACUGACACUGAGGUGCGAAAGCAUGGGGAGCAAACAGGAUUAGAAACCCGAGUAGUCC